GAUGAACGCUGGCGGCGUGCCUAAUACAUGCAAGUCGAGCGAACGGACGAGAAGCUAGCUUCUCUGAUGUUAGCGGCGGACGGGUGAGUAACACGUGGAUAACCUACCUAUAAGACUGGGAUAACUUCGGGAAACCGGAGCUAAUACCGGAUGAUAUUUUGAACCGCAUGGUUCAAAAGUGAAAGACGGUCUUGCUGUCACUUAUAGAUGGAUCCGCGCUGCAUUAGCUAGUUGGUAAGGUAACGGCUUACCAAGGCAACGAUGCAUAGCCGACCUGAGAGGGUGAUCGGCCACACUGGAACUGAGACACGGUCCAGACUCCUACGGGAGGCAGCAGUAGGGAAUCUUCCGCAAUGGGCGAAAGCCUGACGGAGCAACGCCGCGUGAGUGAUGAAGGUCUUCGGAUCGUAAAACUCUGUUAUUAGGGAAGAACAUAUGUGUAAGUAACUGUGCACAUCUUGACGGUACCUAAUCAGAAAGCCACGGCUAACUACGUG
rnacentral:rRNA from 1 species